rnacentral:rRNA from 1 species
UACGAAGGGGGCUAGCGUUGUUCGGAAUUACUGGGCGUAAAGCGCGCGCAGGCGGUUUUCCAAGUCAGUGGUGAAAGCCCGGAGCUCAACUCCGGAAAUGCCAUUGAAACUGCAAAACUUGAGUACGAGAGAGGUGAGUGGAAUUCCCAGUGUAGAGGUGAAAUUCGUAGAUAUUGGGAAGAACACCGGUGGCGAAGGCGGCUCACUGGACUGGUAUUGACGCUGAGGUGCGAAAGCCAGGGGAGCAAACGGG